rnacentral:rRNA from 1 species
CACGAACCGUACGACCGUUAUUCGGAAUUACUGGGCUUAAAGGGUUUGUAGGCGGCCUUGUAAGUCAGGUGUGAAAGCCCUCGGCUCAACCGAGGAACAGCGCUUGAUACUGCAAGGCUUGAGGGAGACAGGGGUAAGCGGAACUGAUGGUGGAGCGGUGAAAUGCGUUGAUAUCAUCAGGAACACCGGUGGCGAAAGCGGCUUACUGGGUCUCUUCUGACGCUGAGGAACGAAAGCUAGGGUAGCGAACGGG